rnacentral:rRNA from 1 species
GACGAACGCUGGCGGCGUGCUUAACACAUGCAAGUCGAACGGUAGGGCCCUUCGGGGUACACGAGUGGCGAACGGAUGAGUAACAAGUGGGUGAUCUGCCCUGCACUUCGGGAUAAGCCUGGGAAACUGGGCCUAAUACCGGAUAGGACCACUGCCUGCAUGGGUGGGGGUGGAAAGCUUUUGCGGUGUGGGAUGGGCCCGCGGCCUAUCAGCUUGUUGGUGGGGUGAUGGCCUACCAAGGCGACGACGGGUAGCCGGCCGGAGAGGGUGACCGGCCACACUGGGACUGAGAUACGGCCCAGACUCCUACGGGAGGCAGCAGUGGGGAAUAUUGCACAAUGGGCGCAAGCCUGAUGCAGCGACGCCGCGUGAGGGAUGACGGCCUUCGGGUUGUAAACCUCUUUCAGCACCGACGAAGCGCAAGUGACGGUAGGUGCAGAAGAAGGACCGGCCAACUACGUGCCAGCCGCCGCGGUAA